AAGGAGGUUGUCCAUAAUUGACAUUAAGCAGCAGACAGUAAAACACUGGGCUCUUCAGCUCCGCCUUUCUUGCUCUGAGAAUUGGAAAACCAAGAAGGUUUUGAUGUUUUGUGUGGCGCCACCUGAAUUAGAAACCAAGAUGAACGUAACUAAAGGAGGUCUGGUGUUGUUUUCAGCAAAUUCUAAUUCAUCUUGUAUGGAGCUUUCAAAGAAAAUUGCUGAGCGGCUGGGGGUGGAGAUGGGCAAAGUGCAGGUUUACCAGGAACCUAACAGAGAAACAAGAGUACAAAUUCAAGAGUCCGUGAGAGGAAAAGAUGUUUUCAUCAUCCAAACAGUUUCAAAG